AAAAUGGCGACACCGUUUUUCAAUACGUUUGUUUAUACAAAUUGAAUGGCAAGUUUCAAACCUUACCAAUGGAGAACAAAAUGGACCUCGAACAUCCGGAUAUGUCUUCGAUACUCGAUCGUUUCUGUGUCCCAUCAUCACUUAUUAAAGUGAGGCACGCCUACAGCGCGUGCGGCAUCCCAGGCUGCGCGUGCACUUGCCCAUUUCAUUUUCGUGGACUACAGCGAGCUCAGUGCCCGAGACUAUGUGCUGCUUUUAUUGACACAUUUUACGAGGGUUGUCGUGAAAAGAAGGACAAUUAUGCCACGGCUAUCGUAACAGCCGUCCGAGGACAUUCAUAUCAUAUCACAGGAUUUUUUCAGCCUCUUAUGUAUUUGACCCUCAACGACAAUGCUUUACUUUCAGUUGGUGAUCAUGGCAGGAACUGUCAUGCUGGCAUAUUACUUUGAGUAUACCGAUACUUUUAACGUGCACGUCCAGGGCUUUUUUUGUCAUGAUAACGCCUAUACAAAGCCCUAUCUUGGAUCAGAGGAAUCCAGUGCGAUCCCUCCUGCUAUCCUUUACGCGGUGGUCGCAGGGGUCCCCUCACUUGUGAUUACAGUGACUGAGUCGGUGCUCUUCUUGCUGCAGUAUGUCUCUGAGGAUCUAGACAACAGAGAGAAGAUUAUUGUGAUGGGGGACUGUUGUUACCUCAACCCUCUGGUCCGAAGGACAUUUCGCUUUCUCGGUGUGUACGCAUUUGGCCUUUUUGCCACAGAUAUCUUUGUUAAUUCUGGGCAGGUGGUAACAGGAAAUUUGUCUCCAUACUUCCUGACGGUGUGUAAACCCAACUACACAGCACUGGGGUGCCAACAGGUGGUGCGUUUCAUCAACCAACAGGAAGCCUGUACAGGCAAUGAGAACGAGAUCUUACACGCUCGCAAGUCCUUCCCAUCCAAAGAGGCAGCCAUCAGUGUCUACGCUGCUCUUUAUGUUGCUAUGUACAUCACAUGCUCAGUGAAGGCCAAAGGCACACGGCUGGCCAAGCCAGUGCUCUCUCUGGGGCUCAUGUGUCUGGCGUUUCUAGCGGGGAUUAAUCGUGUGGUGGAGUACCGCAACCACUGGUCUGAUGUCAUCGCUGGCUUUGUCAUCGGAGGAGCCAUUUCAGUCUUUAUGGUGGUGUAUGUGGUGAAAAGUUUCAAAGGAAAGCCUUUACUAGAUGAGAUACCGCCGGAGGAGAGUGUGUCCAGUGGUCCUGUGCUCACUCAGCCUAGGAUGGAAGACAGCAUGGAGAAAUACAUAGCCUCCCAGAAUCCCAUCACCUACACUGAGAUCACAUGACAAUUGAGAGACGUCCAGUCAGAAGUUGUGGAUAUCGCUGCUGCUCUCUGAUGCAACCUCUUACUUUGAGUGCAAGCAAAUUAUCAAUCAGAAUGUCUCUUGUCUUUACCUCCCGAUUCGAGGAAUUGUUGAGAUCUCUUGACUGCAAAAGGACUGAUGUGUAGUGAAGUAGGUCAAGAACAUUUCCUUUUCUGAGUGACAUUUCUUGCUGAAAAGCACAUUUGAGUUUGAAAUAUCCAAUAGGCUGGUACAUCACAAACAGAACCUGGUAUAGGGGGGCAUUCUUAUUUUAGAGCAUUUGAUUGGACAAAAAUCCAAUAUAUUAAGCUUUUAAACAUGGAAUAAAAGCCUCAAAAUGUCAAUUUUGAUUUUGUGGGGUCUUUAAGGUGGUCAUGAUAACCAGGAGUCAUAAUUGAUUUUGAUGUCAUUAACGCAGAGAUCACCUUGGCAAGGCUGAUGGAUUUAGUUGUGACUGGCAAUUGAUUACAAUUGAUUAGAUGCUUAAGCUUUGCCCAAAGAGGCAACGAAGAGACUUUCUUGGUUGUGUAUAAUGUUGCUUUGUGUGCUUUUUCCCCGGUGUGUAUGUACAUGUUUGUGCUUAUUUGUGAGUCUGUCCUUGAUGUCGCCUCUGUGAGAAUGCAGUCUGUAGUGGGUAAAAGAAGGUCAUUUUCUCUCCCUCUCUUUUCAAAUAAUCAUCACUCAGAGAUGGAAUAAUACUUACCUGUCAGACAGAGAGAAACAGUAUGAAAAACAAACAAAUGUAUCAUGUUUAUGUCAGUCAGUUCAUGUAGAAAUAGCAAUAUUACAUAGAAUAUGUUUGCGAUUUAACAAUCAUAUUGUGUUAGUGUUAUAAGGUUUGUGUCGUCAAAGGUCUGAAGUAUUCAUCGAUUUAUAUUCUGUAGUUAUUUUAUAUCAUAUUGAGCAUGUGUUUGUCAUCAAGUCUCCAAGUGGUGUAAAUCUUAUUUUAUGUCCUGAACCCCCUGUAUACUGUUAUAAGAUAUGAGAUUUUGUUCUAUUAAUGAAUGCAUUGAUGUAAUUCAGUGAAAGAUUUGAUUCACUUUUUGAAGUUUAGUUAGUUAUUUUAUGUAAUUUUAUUUCAUACGUGAUUUCCAUGUCGUUUGGUUUGUAAAUGUAAUUGAUGACUAAAACACAAAAGUUGUGAAUUUUUGAUCGU